rnacentral:rRNA from 1 species
AGUGAACGCUGGCGGUAGGCCUAACACAUGCAAGUCGAACGGCAGCACAGUAAGAGCUUGCUCUUACGGGUGGCGAGUGGCGGACGGGUGAGGAAUACAUCGGAAUCUAAUUUGUCGUGGGGGAUAACGUGGGGACACUUAUGCUAAUACCGCAUACGACCUACGGGCGAAAUCAAGGGAGCUUCGGACCUUUGGCGACUGUAUUAGACGGUUCCGGAUUGCAUAGUUGGGUGGGUAAAGGAACACCAAGGCGACGAUCCGUAGCUGGCCUGAGAGGAUGAUCAGCCACACUGGAACUGAGACACGGUCCAGACUCCUACGGGAGGCAGCAGUGGGGAAUAUUGCACAAUGGGCGAAAGCCUGACCCAGCCAUGCCGCGUGGGUGAAGAAGGCCUUCGGAUUGUAAAACCCUUUUGUUGGGAAAGAACAGCAGCAGAUUAAUCCCCCGCUGUUCUGACGGUACCCAAAGAAUAAGCACCGGCUAACUUCGUG